rnacentral:lncRNA from 1 species
ACUGGGCCUGUGCCCCAUUUGAGUUACCCAGUGGCCUUGGUGGAGCUAAUGAUGCACAGAACACAGAACGGGGUGGGGGCAAGGGGACAGGGUCCUGCUGUCCCUGCCACACCCCAGCAGCGUUUCUGCCUCCCAUCCCCCAGGAGCUGUGGGAGCCCAGGUCUGCCAAGGAGCUGGAGUCUGCAGUGUGGACUCCACCAGAGGCCAAUGGGAGGUGGGUUCAGAGCUGGCUGAGAUGCAGAUUGAGCUCGAGAAGGUCUGCAAUGUGCUGGAAGCUUGAGACUCAGAGCUGAGAGCUCAGCAGUGGGCCCUGGAGGCUGCCCAGGACCAGGUGCUCAGCAGCUGCCCCCCUGCACUGUGCUUCCGACUGGCCUGCAUGGCUCCCACAGGCUCCCCCAUGCCCGAUCCCUGCUGCCUGCCGCAUGGUGCCCAUGCAGGCCUUGACCUUUCCUUCCCCACACUCCGUCACUCAAGUUCCUCCCAAGCCCUUGCUGCCCACUGGGAGGGCUCAGCCUGGAACGUGUUCACUGCUUCCCCCCGCCCACCUCUAAGCUGGUGGAGAGCCUCCCUGAGAAACUGAGGCUGCA